ACCCACUCCCGGCACGGGGAGGUAGUGACGAAAAAUAACAAUACGGGACUCUUUUGAGACCCCGUAAUUGGAAUGAGUACACUCUAAAUCCUUUAACGAGGAUCUAUUGGAGGGCAAGUCUGGUGCCAGCAGCCGCGGUAAUUCCAGCUCCAAUAGCGUAUAUUAAAGUUGUUGCGGUUAAAAAGCUCGUAGUUGGAUCUCAGUUCCAGACGGGCGGUCCGCCUAACGGUGGUUACUGCCUGGCCUGAACAGCCAGCCGGUUUCCCUAGAUGAUCUUCACCGGUUGUCUUGGGUGACCGGCACGUUUACUUUGAAAAAAUUAGAGUGCUCAAAGCAGGCGUGUAGCCUGAAUAAUGGUGCAUGGAAUAAUGGAAUAGGACUUCGUUUCUAUUUUGUUGGUUUUCGGAACACGAGGUAAUGAUUAAGAGGGACAGACGGGGGCAUUCGUAUUGCGACGCUAGAGGUGAAAUUCUUGGACCGUCGCAAGACGAACUACUGCGA
rnacentral:rRNA from 1 species